UCCGGUUCAACACCGGCAGUCUUCUUAGAGUCCUCAGCUUAACCUGUUAGUAACUAAGAACAAGGGUUGCGCUCGUUACGGGACUUAACCCAACAUCUCACAACACGAGCUGACGACAGCCAUGCAGCACCUGUCUCUGCGUUCCUUUCGGCACUCCGGGCUCUCACCCAGAUUCGCAGGAUGUCAAGGGUAGGUAAGGUUCUUCGCGUUGCAUCGAAUUAAACCACAUGCUCCACCGCUUGUGCGGGCCCCCGUCAAUUCAUUUGAGUUUCAACCUUGCGGCCGUACUUCCCAGGCGGAGAACUUAUCGCGUUAGCUUCGAUACUCAUGGGUUCCCCCACAAACAUCUAGUUCUCAUCGUUUACAGCGUGGACUAC
rnacentral:misc_RNA from 1 species